rnacentral:rRNA from 1 species
UACAGGGGGUGCAAACGUUGCUCGGAAUCAUUGGGCGUAAAGCGCGUGUAGGCGGCCCUGCAAGUCGGAUGUGAAAUCCCACGGCUCAACCGUGGAAGUGCAUUCGAAACUGCAGGGCUAGAGUCCUGGAGAGGAAGGUGGAAUGCUUGGUGUAGAGGUGAAAUUCGUAGAUAUCAAGCGGAACACCGGUGGCGAAGGCGGCCUUCUGGACAGUGACUGACGCUGAGACGCGAAAGCGUGGGGAGCAAACGGG